GAUCAUGGCUCAGGAUAAACGCUGGCGGCGUGCUUAACACAUGCAAGUCGAACGAAGUUUUUCUUUCGGGAGAAACUUAGUGGCGGACGGGUGAGUAACGCGUGGGUAACCUGCCCUGUACAGGGGGACAACAGCUGGAAACGGCUGCUAAUACCGCAUAAGCCCUUAGCACUGCAUGGUGCAUAGGGAAAAGGAGUAAUCCGGUACAGGAUGGACCCGCGUCUGAUUAGCCAGUUGGCAGGGUAACGGCCU
rnacentral:rRNA from 1 species